CCUACGGGAGGCUGCAGUAGGGAAUCUUGCACAAUGGGGGAAACCCUGAUGCAGCGACGCCGCGUGAGCGAAGAAGUAUUUCGGUAUGUAAAGCUCUAUCAGCAGGGAAGAAAAUGACGGUACCUGACUAAGCAGCCCCGGCUAAAUACGUACCAGCAGCCGCGGUAAUACGUAGGGGGCAAGCGUUCUCCGGAUUUACUGGGGGUAAAGGGAGCGCAGGCGGUUUGGCAAGUCUGAUGUGAAAGGCUGGUGUUCAACCCGAGGACUGCAUUGGAAACUGUGAGGCGUGAGUGUAGGAGAGGAGAGCGGAAUUCCAAGUGUAGCGGUGAAAUGCGUAGAUAUUAGGAGGAACACCAGUGGCGAAGGCGGCUCACUGGACGGUAACUGACGCUGAGGCUCGAAAGCGUGGGGAGCAAACAGGAUUAGAUACCCGUGUAGUC
rnacentral:rRNA from 1 species